rnacentral:rRNA from 1 species
AGUGAACGCUGGCGGUAGGCCUAACACAUGCAAGUCGAACAGCAGCACAGUAAGAGCUUGCUCUUACGGGUGGCGAGUGGCGGACGGGUGAGGAAUACAUCGGAAUCUACUUUUUCGUGGGGGAUAACGUAGGGAAACUUACGCUAAUACCGCAUACGACCUACGGGUGAAAGCAGGGGAUCUUCGGACCUUGCGCGAUUGAAUGAGCCGAUGUCGGAUUAGCUAGUUGGCGGGGUAAAGGCCCACCAAGGCGACGAUCCGUAGCCGGUCUGAGAGGAUGAUCAGCCACACUGGAACUGAGACACGGUUCAGACCCCUACGGGAGGCAGCAGUGGGGAAUAUUGGACAAUGGGCGCAAGCCUGAUCCAGCCAUACCGCGUGGGUGAAGAAGGCCUUCGGGUUGUAAAGCCCUUUUGUUGGGAAAGAAAAGCAGCAGGUUAAUACCCCGCUGUUCUGACGGUACCCAAAGAAUAAGCACCGGCUAACUUCGUG